rnacentral:rRNA from 1 species
ACGAACGCUGGCGGCGUGCCUAAUACAUGCAAGUCGAACGGCUUUUCUAUGGAAGCUUGCUUCCACUGAGAAGAUAGUGGCGAACGGGUGAGUAACACGUGGGUAACCUGCCCAUAAGAGGGGGGAUAACAUCCGGAAACGGGUGCUAAUACCGCAUAGUUUUCUUGAUCGCAUGAUCGGGAAAGGAAAGACGGCCUUUGUGCUGUCGCUUAUGGAUGGACCCGCGGCGUAUUAGUUAGUUGGUGAGGUAACGGCUCACCAAGACGAUAAUACGUAGCCGACCUGAGAGGGUGAUCGGCCACAUUGGGACUGAGACACGGCCCAAACUCCUACGGGAGGCAGCAGUAGGGAAUCUUCCGCAAUGGACGAAAGUCUGACGGAGCAACGCCGCGUGAGUGAAAGAAGGUUUUCGGAUCGUAAAACUCUGUUGUCAGGGAAGAACAAGUUGGAGAGUAACUGCUCCAGCCUUGACGGUAUCUGACCAGAAAGCCACGGCUAACUACGUGCCAGCCGCAGC